rnacentral:rRNA from 1 species
UUAGAGUUUGAUCCUGGCUCAGGACGAACUUUGGCGGCAUGCCUAAUACAUGCAAGUCGAACGCUGAAGCACUCUGCUUGCAGAGUGCGGAUGAGUGGCGAACGGGUGAGUAACACGUGGGAAAUCUGCCCUUCAGCGGGGGAUAACCGUCGGAAACGAUGGCUAAUACCGCAUAGGUCUUUUAACCGCCUGGUUGAAAGAGGAAAGACGGCUUCGGCUGUCACUGAAGGAUGGUCCCGCGGUGCAUUAGCUAGUUGGUAAGGUAACGGCUUACCAAGGCGAUGAUGCAUAGCCGACCUGAGAGGGUGAUCGGCCACAUUGGGACUGAGACACGGCCCAAACUCCUACGGGAGGCAGCAGUAGGGAAUCUUCCGCAAUGGACGCAAGUCUGACGGAGCAACGCCGCGUGUGUGAAGAAGGUCUUCGGAUCGUAAAGCACUGUUAUUAGAGAAGAACAACCGGUAGAGUAACCGUUACCGGCUUGACGGUAUCUAACCAGAAAGCCACGGCUAACUACGUGCCAGCAGCCGCGGUAAUACGUAGGUGGCAAGCGUUGUCCGGAUUUAUUGGGCGUAAAGGGAGCGCAGGCGGUGACUUAAGUCUGAUGUGAAAGCCCACGGCUCAACCGUGGUAGGUCAUUGGAAACUGGGCCACUUGAGUGCAGAAGAGGAAAGUGGAAUUCCAUGUGUAGCGGUGAAAUGCGUAGAUAUAUGGAGGAACACCAGUGGCGAAGGCGACUUUCUGGUCUGUAACUGACGCUGAGGCUCGAAAGCGUGGGGAGCAAACAGGAUUAGAUACCCUGGUAGUCCACGCCGUAAACGAUGAG